ACUCCUACGGGAGGCAGCAGUGGGGAAUUUUGCGCAAUGGGGGAAACCCUGACGCAGCAACGCCGCGUGAGUGAUGAAGGCCUUCGGGUCGUAAAGCUCUGUCAGAGGGGAAGAAAUGCAGGGUGCUAAUAUCGCUUCUGCUUGACGGUACCCUCAAAGGAAGCACCGGCUAACUCCGUGCCAGCAGCCGCGGUAAUACGGAGGGUGCGAGCGUUGUUCGGAAUUAUUGGGCGUAAGGCGCGUGUAGGCGGUUUGUUAAGUCUGAUGUGAAAGCCCCGGGCUCAACCUGGGAAGUGCAUUGGAAACUGGCAGACUUGAAUACGGGAGAGGGCAGUGGAAUUCCUAGUGUAGGAGUGAAAUCCGUAGAUAUUAGGAGGAACACCGGUGGCGAAGGCGGCUGCCUGGACCGAUAUUGACGCUGAGACGCGAAAGCGUGGGGAGCAAACAGGAUUAGAUACCCUGGUAGUCCACGCCGUAAACGAUGAGAACUAGGUGUCGCGGGUA
rnacentral:rRNA from 1 species